rnacentral:rRNA from 1 species
CCUACGGGAGGCAGCAGUGGGGAAUAUUGGGCAAUGGGCGCAAGCCUGACCCAGCAACGCCGCGUGAAGGAAGAAGGCUUUCGGGUUGUAAACUUCUUUUCUCAGGGACGAAUCAAGUGCCGGUACCUGAGAAAUAAGCACCGGCUAACUACGUGCCAGCAGCCGAGGUAAUACGUAGGUGGCAAGCGUGAUCCGGAUUUACUGGGUGUAAAGGGCGUGUAGGCGGGACGGCAAGUCAGAUGUGAAAACCAGGGGCUUAACCUGUGGCCUGCAUUUGAAACUGUGGUUCUUGAGUACUGGAGAGGCAGACGGAAUUCCUAGUGUAGCGGUGAAAUGCGUAGAUAUUAGGAGGAACACCAGUGGCGAAGGCGGUCUGCUGGACAGCAACUGACGCUGAGGCGCGAAAGCGUGGGGAGCAAACAGGAUUAGAUACCCGAGUAGUC